ensembl:lncRNA
CAGAACAACAAAAUAUGCCUUGCCACUUAUUUAGUUGUUGUCAGGACAAAUGUUGGCUACAAACCUGUUGCAGAGUUCAUCUGUGAAAAUGAGUCCAUAAUUGCAAUCUCUGAGGCCUUGUCCUAUAAAAUAAUUACUUAUUACUUACUUAUAUUACUGCGAACAAGAAUACCAGGCACUUCAAUUGAUCUUCCAACAUGCUCACAAAUACCUUUUGUGAGCAUGUGGGAAAAUAAGUUCUUUAAAUCUUUCUUUAUCUUUAUGAUUGAUUAUAAGAGUCAAAUCAGUGUAUCAUUACUCAAGGUUACAAUUGCUGGUGCCACAGUUAAACCAAUUGUUUUUUACAGUAUUGUAUUUGAACUUUUUAAUGUUACUUAAUUUAUGCAUUUACUAUGCACUUUCUGCGGUGGUUGAGCAUUUUAACUAAUCACAAUUUGCCCCACUGACAUUUCAGCAAUCAAUAUUAAACACUAUUAAAAUAAUAAGGGAAAUUAUCCAUUAUAUUUGUCAUAAUCAUGCUUCAUCCUGCCUUAAAACAGAUUGUUUUUUAUUUCUUCUUUUCCUACAUCUCCAGCUGCCUUAAGAGUAAUAACUUUGCUGUUUACAAAAUGUUUAUUAAUGGAGAAAUAGUGAUGUUGUGUAAAAAGUCAUUUUUACAGGCCAAAUGCUAGAGAUUACAUGUGCAUUAUAUAUGAGUAGUAUUAACAUUUUAAAAAUUAAUAGUCUUUUUGAUGUAACUGUUGCAGGCAAAAACCAUCUCUCUGAUCAGGAUCGCAGUGAACUUCUUGGCCUCCUUCAUAGUGUAGCAUCUGCACAUGAUAGAGAAACAUGUGAGGCAGACAUAAGUAAGCCCAGGGACAGUGUCUUGUAUAAAACUAACACAGCAGUUCGAAAUUAUGUUGAGAAAAGGUGGCUCAUGAUUAAAGAGGUAGGGGUUACAGCAGUGUCCAUGAAAAUUUUAUAUUGUCACAGUGGGGGUUGUUAUGCAUUUAUGUACACUGACAGUAAAGGGAGGUUAUAAAGACAUUUUUCAAAUUGAAAUAGUGUAAAAAAAAAAAUAUAUAUAUAUAUCUUGUUUAUUUUCAGAGGUGGUGCAGAGGAUUCUCCACAAAUGGAUUUAAUUUUUCCAUAAACACAAACAAUGGCAGUGAAGCAAUGAACAACUCUUUGAAGAGCUUUUACCUGAAGAUUUCAGGUACUAAAACAGUAUCAUCUUUAGUUGAAAUGAUAAUUACUGAAUUCAUACCUGAGCAGCUCCUCUCAUACGCUAAACUUAAUUACACAUACAGCAGUGAACUCUACAGUUCUGAUGUUCCUGAGUUCCUUUGGGACCGUCCAAGAAGCUUUGUGCAACAUUGCCUGAAAAGCAUAGAGGCAGCUGCUCAUUAUACCUCCCAAAAUCUUCAAGAACAGAGCAAGGGUGUAUAUAAAGUCCAGAGUGAACAGUCAUGUGACUGGUACUCUGUAGACCUCGGAGACAAAGACCAUUUUCCAUCAUGUGAAUGCAGAUCUUUUAAAUCAUCUUUUUUACCCUGCAAGCAUUUUUUUUUUUUUUUGCUAUUUUUCCAACACACUGACAGCUCAUGGUACUCCUUGUGCCUGGAUUACAUAAACAGUCCAUAUGUCUCUCUUGACUCAGAGGUGGUAUCAGGUCAGAAACACUUGCUGGUGAAAGAAGUGAUUGAAAAGAGCAAGACUGUACAUCCUGUGGCCAAAGACAGUCUUGACAUGCAAUGCUUGAACAUGGAUGUGGAGGCAAAUGGAGUUUCCACUGCACAGAGUGUUCUACGAGAGAAAUUAAAAAUUCUCCUGGAUCUGUCAUACCUAUGCACUGAUCUUGAAUUGUUGCGAAAUGCGACUGCAGUCAUUGGUGAACUUGCAGGAAAGAUGAAAUGCUCUUUUCCAAAGGAAGAUGCUCUACCACUUCUAAGCAAGAAAGAUGAUAUGAAGUCGAAAUUCAUGUACUCUCAACCCAGAAAAGAAAAAGAAUGUUGAGAACCAAAAGAAGAAAAAUUGAGAAAAGAAACAGUGGUAAGAUCAUUGAGGGUACAAUUGUUGUCUACGUCCAAUUUAAAAGAUGUCAUUCAUUGCAGCUUAUUUUGUUGCAGGUGACACGGGUGACCAGUCUGGUUCUUUGAAAGAAAACUCGACUGUGCUACAAUAGCUUUGCCAGGUGAGUAGUAGGUAAAUGUUAUACAUUUAUUAUACUGUAACUAUGGGUAUGUAAAUAAUUUAGGUGUUAUUGCAUGUGAAAUUUAAAAUGUGGUGUUAUUUGACAGAGGCUGAGACACUUCUGGCAGAGCCGAACAAGCAUGAGAGUGUUGAGGUAGACAGUGGAGGUAGAUUGUCUGUGUGUGGACAGGUGUUAGGGAGCUGUGAUUUUGAAACUCUGAAAUAUCCUCACUGGUUAAAUGAUAAGGUAGAAUUAGGUGUUUUGAUAGGUUCAAUGUUUCAUAUCAGGGAGGGAUAAAUUUAGUAAAAUCUGGAUUGGAGUGUAGAGUCCUGGAGAUGUUGUCUGACAGGAGUUCUGCUCCGACUCUGCUGGGGUGCAGGCCAUCAGCGCGAAAAAGCCUAGGUCGCUCCCAGAAAAGAUUCCGAUUAUUAACAAAGAGCAGUUUCUGUUCUUUACACCAUGACAAUAACCAUUCAUUUAGAGCAAAAAAAUCUACUGAACCUUUCGUGUCCUCGUCGAUACGUGGGCAGUGGUCCUGACACGAUGAUCGUCGCCGCGGGCGUCGUGCUGCGAACCGUCUCGAUCAGGCUCCUGAAGUCCCUCUUCAGCGUCUCCGUCUGCCGCUGCGUGGUGUCGUUAACCCCGGCGUGAAGCACGACCGCUCUGGGGCUCUCGUCGGCCUUCAGGAUCGCGGGUAUCUGCGCAGAAACAUCGAGAACACGAGCACCAGGGAAACAGUGAGUGUGCACUUUACCUUCGGCUAACGUAGCACGGACGUGUCAGACGAUGGAGUCUCCGACGAUCACAGCGUCGCGUUCCGUCUCGCGGAGGGGAGAGAAGCGGUUCCAUGUGGAGAUCUCGAAGACCGGAGGGGAAGAAGUCGUCGCCCGGGGCCUGGCUCGCGUCCUCCGCUGCGGAUGCACCCAGGGUCCGUGGUGUCCCGGCGCCGGCGUGAAGGACAUCUGGGCAGAUCGCGUCCUGGGUGCACCGGGCCUGUGCAGAGAAACACACGGGGUGGAGGUGGUGGGACUCGGUUCCAUGUGGAGAUCUCGAAGACCGGAGGGGAAGAAGUCGUCGCCCGGGGCCUGGCUCGCGUCCUCCGCUGCGGAUGCACCCAGGGUCCGUGGUGUCCCGGCGCCGGCGUGAAGGACAUCUGGGCAGAUCGCGUCCUGGGUGCACCGGGCCUGUGCAGAGAAACACACGGGGUGGAGGUGGUGGGACUGUUAGCAGCGCGCUGUAUACUUACCCUGGACUUGUGAGCGUCAGCCCGGGAGGUUUCCAGCGCGGCUCUCCGCUCUCUCAGCUGGGCCUGCCUCUGCUCCAGGACCCGAAUCUGCUUCUCCACGGCCUCCAGCUCGAGCUGCACCGAAUGCAGCUCGAACGUGUCGUCACC